rnacentral:rRNA from 1 species
CGGGGGGAGCAAGCGUUGUUCGGAUUUACUGGGCGUAAAGGGCGCGUAGGCGGCCACCGCAAGUCAGUUGUGAAAUCUCUGGGCUUAACCCAGAAAGGUCAACUGAUACUGCGGGGCUAGAGUGCAGAAGGGGCAACUGGAACUCUCGGUGUAGCGGUGAAAUGCGUAGAUAUCGAGAGGAACACCUGCGGCGAAGGCGGGUUGCUGGGCUGACACUGACGCUGAUGUGCGAAAGCUAGGGGAGCGAACGGGAUUAGAUACCCCGGUAGUCCUAGCCUUAAACGAUGAAUGCUUGGUGUCUGGGGUUUUAUAGUCCCCGGGUGCCGUCGCUAACGCUUUAAGCAUUCCGCCUGGGGAGUACGGUCGCAAGACUG